CUGUCCCUCUUGUCCUGGUGAUGUUCAUCUGACUGUGGAGAGUUUAGUUCAGGCAUGGCUUAAAGAAAAAGGCCAUGAAGCCAUGCAAUUGAGAGAAAAGUAAAAGGUAGUUGUGAAGCAGUUCCAAAAGCAGUUCCCAGGCUGAUUACUAUAAACAAUUAGACUCUCUCAGGCAUCACUUUAUAAACAAUAAGGUUCUCAGGCAGUCUUCCCAUAACAAGUGAAACACCCUCUCUGGGAAAAGAUGGCACCCUGGGAACAGAUAUGGAAGUUUUGGGAACCUUUCAUAUCACAGUGGGAACACUGGUUUUGUUUUGUGUAAACAAUUAACGGUAUUGUAAAACAAAAGGAGUGGUUAGAGUUUUCUCUGUUAGCCUAUCAUGAACCUGUAUUUUGGAAUAUGCAUGAAGUUCGUUAACACUGUUAUUUAAACUGGCUGAUCGAUCAAUAAACCGAGUUCGAUGCAUCAAAGGAUGGUCGUUCUCCCCCCACUUCAACAUCUGACCAUGCAGGCUCCAUUAGUAUUCAGACAUCCAGGUGGAUAGCAGCCCUGUUGCAAUGCUGGGGCCUCAGGCUUGUUAUCACACCACACACCUGAGCAAUGCAUCACUGUGAACAUCCUAGCUGGGGCAGGCAGAAACAUCAGCACUUCUGUCUUGGUUCAGCCUUUGUGCUGGCUAUGGCUGUUUGCCAUCCUGAUGCUGUACUUGCAGAGGUUUCCUUUCUUUGAGGAAGCUGGUGUUACUCAGUAGUGCCUAAUGCCUGUUCCUCUUCUCCCUGGCAGGGCCAUCCCUCCUCCCCCCGCACAGUUGCUGCAGCUCCAAGCCACAUGCUCCAUCUGUGCCAGGGACACAGUGGUUCUUGCUGCCUGCAGGCAUGUCCCAGCAUUCACAGAACUGAGCUAACUUUGCCUUUCUGCCUUCUGUUCACCACCUUCCAGAUCUGCCCUUUCUGGUUCUCUCCACACUGUUGUCUCCAGGACUUUUCUAGCUCUAGGAUGGUGUCUGGUCCUGGAUGCAGGACAUUCCCACUCUGGACUGUCCUCAAUGGGAGUGGCAAGACUCUCCUGGUACCAAGGUAACACAGAGGAAUGAGUAACAAUUCCAAAUUAUGGCUGCUAUUAAUUUGAGAGACGUGCAUGUUGAAAAAACAAAGAAAGGGGAAUACGGCUCCUCAAGAACAUUUAGAUAAUGCAAUACUUAUACAAGAAUUUCUGAAAGCAGAUCAUCAAUUUUGAUCCCCGACAGAGCGAUACUGCUCUGAAGAUUUGCAGAUACAGAACCUGUGGAGGCCAGAAAUCUGUCCAAGCAAAAGCCUGCUGCACUCCCUGGAGGACUGACCCCAAAGCCACAACCCCUGUGGUUAUGGUGAACAAAAAGAGCAUCCCCUCCGCUCCUUGGGUUUUUAUGUUGAUUCCUUGUAUCCCACUGGCCCUUCCCCUUUGCUCCACCCCUGUGCCCUCAUCCCGUUGGCCCUGGUGUUCUGUCCCACCCCUCGAGAUCCCUAUAUAAACCCUUGCUUUUGCUGCCGGACUGGCUCUUUUGUCCUUGGAUCCCUUUGAGGAGGAAGCUCAAUAAAGGGUCUCCUUGGAACACCACACCAUGACCCUGUCUCUCCUUCUGGACUGACUGGAUUGUAAAGCUGAAAUCACCUGGUGUGAGCACAGACGUGCCUGUGCCCCCAAGGUGUCUUUUUCAAGACACUUCUUCGGGAAGGUUGCGACACUCUGAACAAUGCUGGCGAUGACAGAACCAGUUUCUAGAAGUUUUACAUAAGGAUCCACCAUUGGAUGUGCAAUGGCAAGGCCGAGCUGAUUUACUAACCUAAGGGAGAAUGUAGGCAUGUGUUUUUAUUGCCAACAGGUCUAAAGUGGUUACCUGCUUGUCUGGACAAACAUUGAUUGCCUCCAAGGAGAUGAGGCCCAGUGAGAGGAGAAAUGACCUAAUCACAGCCCAGCCCUGGUGCCAGUGCAGGAGCAGGGGCAGGACUGCCAGGACAUGGCCUUGUCUGGAGGCUCACGAAGGCAGCCUGCUUGUGUCGCACUGCACCCACUGUAUGGUGUUCCUGCUGACCUUCUUCAGUUAUUCCCUGUUCCAUGCUUCCAGAAGGACAUUCGGUAAUGUCAAAGACAGCAUUUCUAUCUAAUGGACUUCCUCCUACCUAAACAGCACAGCCUCUGAGCUCCAGCCAGAUGAACUUUGGAAGAGGAGCCAUUUCUUUCCAUUUCCUGGGGACAUUGGACACCAUCUUUUUGUUUUCCUCUGCUGUGAGUGUCUUUGUCAGUGGCAUGGUUAUAUUUGAUGGGGUUUUUAUUGAUUGUGAUCUGUGUUCCUUGUAUCUUAUCCUGUGUCCAGCAGAUGACCAGUAAUAGUCGUAAUAAGAUUAUUACAGGUGCAGACUGUUUUGGCAUUAGGGUACAUGAACCCUUUGCACAAAAAACAAAGGGGGAGAUGUUGAUAUUGGCAAAACUUUACAAAAUAAGGGCCUUGUUACCCUUUGAAAAAUAUGGCUCAGGCCUAUUUGACUAAGUAGAAAAGGACUAUGGGAAAGUGACUCAGAUGAAUUACAGGUAGAAAAAUAAGUUAUAUAACUACUACAUGUUCACAUUGUGGUUUAUGGUGAUUAGUUGAAUAACAUUUGUUGUGCUUAAAUGGAAUGUAACUGAUAAAGGCCUAACUGCUUGAAAAGUCCUGGUUUUGCAAUUAAGAGUUCUCUCUUGCACCUGCCUGGGGAGUCUGCAUCACUCUGCUUCGUAACUAUGGACCUGUUAAACUUGUGAACA